rfam:Zea mays cultivar B73 chromosome 10, whole genome shotgun sequence.
AUACAUUUCUCAGUCUUUUAGCUAAAACAAAGUGUAAUAUUUAUUCUUAUCAGUUUAAUAUAUCUAUUAUGUAUAUUAUAUAUUCACUUUGAUAUUAAAUUUAUUUUUUGUGGCUAUUUUUUGUGGGAGGUUCCACUACACUGUCGUGACGAGAGAUUGUUGUUUUUGUGUGUGUCCACAGUCCACACAGACCGACGAUCUCUUC